rnacentral:piRNA from 1 species
AUGUCAUUGGACUUUAAAAGGGGA